AUUACCCAAUACGGACACCGUGAGGUAGUGACAAGAAAUAACAAUACAGGGCAAUAGUCUUGUAAUUGGAAUGAUGGUGACUUAAACCCUCACCAGAGUAGCAAUUAGAGGGCAAGUCUGGUGCCAGCAGCCGCGGUAAUUCCAGCUCCAAUAGCGUAUAUUAAACUUGUUGCAGUUAAAAAGCUCGUAGUUGUAUUUUUGCGUUUGGGCUUUUAGCUUUGGCUACUUGCCGAUUCGCUUUUGGGCUUUGCCCUUUUUACUUUGAGAAAAUUAGAGUGUUUCAAGCAGACUUUUGUCUUGAAUACUUCAGCAUGGAAUAAUAAAGUAGGACUUGGGUUCUAUUUUGUUGGUUUGGGAACCUUAGUAAUGGUUAAUAGGAACGGUUGGGGGCAUUCGUAUUUAA
rnacentral:rRNA from 1 species